rnacentral:lncRNA from 1 species
GACCGUGACCUCCACGCUGCAGCAACACUCCUUGGAAAAAAGAAAAUCUGUAUUCCCGUGAAGCAGAAAAUCAUUACUAAUUAAUAAAUCACUCUUCUAAGGAAAUAUGGGAAGAUGAUGGCAUCAUCUCUCAGCAUUCUGGUGAAGAGAGAUACAGUGGAUGCGGGGGCUGCCCCAGCAGCAGCUUCUCCCUGCAGAGCUGCAGAAGAGAAGUAGCCCUUGAGCACUCACCCUCCCUCUGUGAAAACAGUGUGCCACAUUCAAGAAUUAUUAGGUCAUAAAAGAUGGCCCAGAUCCCCACUGUCUGGAGUCACAGAGUCACGUCUACACUAUAGGUACCGCGAUACCUGACAAUAGUGCUUUGCUUCAAGGUAAAAAUGAUGGAGAGUGCAAGGCAGUGAAGAAACGGCCAGUUGAGACUCAAAAUGCUGAGAAGGUUGUUCCUAAUGAAGGGAAAGAAAAUUUAAAAGAAAGAGAAUGCAGAUAGCAGGCAUUAGGGAGCAAAGAAAUGCUGGAUCAAAUUCUCUGCUGCUUCUCAUGAGAGGGAGAGCACAGGAUGUUCAGCCCAGGAAGUGGGAAGCCCAAUAGCAUCCUCUGCUUUAUCUGGAAUAAUUACGAAGGGAUAGUAAACAGAAAAAAUGUCCUUGAUAAAAUACUUAUUUUCAUUAUCUCCUUUUUUUUUUUCAUUAUCUCCUUUUUUUUUUUCUUUCCUUGAACUUCCUUCAAAAAUAAAAUCUGUAAUUUUC